AUUGAACGCUGGCGGCAUGCCUUACACAUGCAAGUCGAACGGCAGCACGGGUGCUUGCACCUGGUGGCGAGUGGCGAACGGGUGAGUAAUACAUCGGAACGUACCUUAUCGUGGGGGAUAACGCAGCGAAAGCUGUGCUAAUACCGCAUACGCCCUGAGGGGGAAAGCGGGGGAUCGCAAGACCUCGCGCGAUUAGAGCGGCCGAUGCCUGAUUAGCUAGGUGGUGGGGUAAAAGCCCACCAAGGCGACGAUCAGUAGCUGGUCUGAGAGGACGACCAGCCACACUGGGACUGAGACACGGCCCAGACUCCUACGGGAGGCAGCAGUGGGGAAUUUUGGACAAUGGGGGCAACCCUGAUCCAGCAAUGCCGCGUGAGUGAAGAAGGCCUUCGGGUUGUAAAGCUCUUUUGUCAGGGAAGAAACACCGGCUCUAACACAGUCCGGGAAUGACGGUACCUGAAGAAUAAGCACCGGCUAACUACGUGCCAGCCGCCGCCGUAA
rnacentral:rRNA from 1 species